GAUUCAUCCCAGGCCAGGCGAGUGGAAAAGUACCAGCCGCGCGCGAGGGGCGGGGGCGCGCCGAGGGGCGGAAAAGUACAGACGGCGGAGCCGCGGGGAGAACAAAGAUGAUGCCACCGCUGUGUUGCGGCCGUCGAGGCCCCCUACUCCGGCAGAUUUCAACCUGCUUUCACUCUUCAAAACUAGCCGGAGGUCGGCGAGCAGCUCCUUUUCGGGAUGUGCUUUUUGUACGGCCAUGGAAACUGGACUAGCGGAAAGGCUACCUUUUGGCCAGCAAGCCAGGCCCCUUAGAAAGAGGCCCCAGUGGGGAGCCCGGCGCUCCUAAGGCCGUUUGGGAGUCCCCAGUUUUCCACUCGCUGACACGUUGCUUCUCUUAUCCCACCACCGCCGCCCCGGGCAAAGGCACUGCCUUGUCUGAAUGCGGGUCUGAGGCGCUUUCUGCGGAGCCUGGUCCUUUCCCUUCAAUGGUGAUGUGUGUGGUCUUGCUGAGCCAGGCAACUAGGGGGACCCUUCGCUGUGGAAAAAUUGGUGCUGCGGGAAAGGCAAGACUCACUCCCUUGCAGGAAACAAAGACCCCUUAGGAGAGAGAAAUGUUCAUGGAAUGAAUGAAUAAACAAGUUUGACCUA
rnacentral:lncRNA from 1 species